GACGAACGCUGGCGGCGUGCUUAACACAUGCAAGUCGAACGGAAAGGCCCUGCUUUUGUGGGUUGCUCGAGUGGCGAACGGGUGAGUAACACGUGAGUAACCUGCCCUUGACUUUGGGAUAACUUCAGGAAACUGGGGCUAAUACCGGAUAGGAUCUCCUGCUGCAUGGUGGGGGUUGGAAAGUUUCGGCGGUUGGGGAUGGACUCGCGGCUUAUCAGCUUGUUUGUGGGGUAGUGGCUUACCAAGGCUUUGACGGGUAGCCGGCCUGUGAGGGUGACCGGCGACAUUGGGACUGAGAUACGGCCCAGACUCCUACGGGAGGCAGCAGUGGGGAAUAUUGCACAAUGGGAGGAAGCCUGAUGCAGAAACGCCGCGUGCGGGAUGACGGCCUUCGGGUUGUAAACCGCUUUCGACUGUGACGAAGCGUGAGUGACGGUAAUGGGUAAAGAAGCACCGGCUAACUACGUG
rnacentral:rRNA from 1 species